GCGGGUGUGGUUCAAUGGUAGAACGGCUCUCUUCCAAGGAGCAAACGGCGGUUCGAUUC
rnacentral:tRNA from 1 species